CUUUGAUCACGCAUGCUCUCUUGGCGUCCAGCUCCUCUUCUUCUUUUUUUUCUCCCCAUCACAACAUUUCUCCUAAGUUGGAAAGUCAAGGAAAGCCUGAGCGAAGUGUUGUCCACAGUUAAACCAAUCAUUCGGGGAAAGCCAUCUCAUAUUUAAAAUGCCUGUGGUGUCAAGGUGAAGGGAUCAGCUGGCAGAGAUGUAAGUGUGUGCAGAGUGUGUGCAUGAAAAGAGACUGGAAGAGGAAGCGAUCGACAGAGAGAGCCCAGUCCAGCUGGACACAACAAGGCAGUGCCUGGCUGAUUGUGUGAGACACAUGAAAGAGCCGAGGCAUGGCCAGGGAGCCUCUAUUCAGGGCUACACUUCUCGAAAAGCUGGCCGUAUCUAACCCCUGGCGACUGGCUGGCCCUAUCACUCAAAUGUCCCAGCAGUCUUUGUGGCUUUCCCAAGACCACAGUGAAAUGAUCUCUUUUGUUGCGCAUCAUUAGUUCCAUCUGCUGUGUGAGCCUGGCUGUCUGUUGCGGGGGCAGGACGCCGUCAUGGUGGCCAGGGGGCGAGGCGAGAGACCCACGGCCCUGACGCUCGUGUCCCGACCUCCUCCUUCUCAUCCACCGCUCAGGACGCCUGCCUCUCUUUCUUUCUCUCAGCCUCUUCCUUUUUUCAUUUUCUUUAGUCUCUUUCUUUCAGUCUCGCUCUCUGUCAAUUCAAUUCAAGUCAAUUCAAAGUAGCUUUAUUGGCAUGACCAUAUUAAUAUACAGUAUUGCCAAAGCAUUCGAAUACAUUUACACACACACACACACACACACACACAUACACAGUCUUAGUAACCUUGUAGGGACCUUCCUUUGACAUAAUUAAUUCAGCUAAUUAAUGCUUUGCCUACACCUAAAUCUAACACUACCCUUAACAUCAGAAACCAAAAGGAAAUCUUUUCACUCUUUCUGUUGAACAAAAACUGCAGUUUUUAUUUCAAGUAGCAGAUUUCAUUGUUGGAACCAACCAAAUGGCCAGAAAUACCUAUCCUUGUGAGGACAUUGUGUUUUACAAUAUGUGAUCAUAUCUGAUGUAUGAAAGAAGCAGUGAUGUAAUACAAUGAUUUUGAUGCAAUACAAUAUGACACAAUGCUGCAUUUGCAUUAAAAUUCUAAUUUAUUAAAAUUCUAUCUUUUUGCCAUGGCACUUGAUAUUACCAUUGUGACCUAUAGCCAGA